rnacentral:rRNA from 1 species
AACGAACGCUGGCGGCAUGCCUAACACAUGCAAGUCGAACGAAGGCUUCGGCCUUAGUGGCGCACGGGUGCGUAACGCGUGGGAAUCUGCCCUUUGGUUCGGAAUAACAGCUGGAAACGGCUGCUAAUACCGGAUGAUGACUAAAGUCCAAAGAUUUAUCGCCAGAGGAUGAGCCCGCGUUGGAUUAGGUAGUUGGUGGGGUAAAGGCCUACCAAGCCGACGAUCCAUAGCUGGUCUGAGAGGAUGAUCAGCCACACUGGGACUGAGACACGGCCCAGACUCCUACGGGAGGCAGCAGUGGGGAAUAUUGGACAAUGGGCGCAAGCCUGAUCCAGCAAUGCCGCGUGAGUGAUGAAGGCCCUAGGGUUGUAAAGCUCUUUUACCCGGGAAGAUAAUGACUGUACCGGGAGAAUAAGCCCCGGCUAACUCCGUG